GCGAAAGUUUUUAACUUUAGUGGCGAACGGGUGCGUAAUACGUGAGAAUCUGCCCUUAGGAGGAGAAUAACUUCUGGAAACGGUUGCUAAGUCUCCAUAUGCCGAGAGGUGAAAUAGUUUACACUGCCUAGGGAUGAGCUCACGCCUGAUUAGCUUGUUGGUAAGGUAAUGGCUUACCAAGGCCACGAUCAGUAGCUGGUUUGAGAGAACGAUCAGCCACACUGGGACUGAGACACGGCCCAGACUCCUCCGGGAGGCAGCAGUGAGGAAUUUUCCGCAAUGGGCGAAAGCCUGACGGAGCAAUACCGCGUGAGGGAUGAAGGAUUUUGGUCUGUAAACCUCUUUUCUCAAGAAAGAAGUUCUGACGGUACUUGAGGAAUAAGCAUCGGCUAACUCCGUGCCAGCAGCCGCGGUAAUACGGGGGAUGCAAGCGUUAUCCGGAAUCAUUGGGCGUAAAGCGCCUGUAGGUUGUUUAAUAAGUCUGUUGUUAAAGACUGGGGCUUAACCCCAGGAAAGCAAUGGAAACUACUAGACUUGAGUAUGAUAGGGGUAGAGGGAAUUUCUAGUGUAGCGGUGAAAUGCGUAGAUAUUAGGAAGAACACCGGUGGCGAAGGCGCUCUACUGGAUCAUUACUGACACUCAGAGGCGAAAGCUAGGGUAGCAAAAGGGAUUAGAUAUCCUCUGUAGUCUCUAGCCGUAAACGAUGGAUACUAGAUGUUGCGUUUAUUAUGCAGUAUCGUAGCUAACGCGUUAAGUAUCUCGCCUGGGGAGUACGCUCGCAAGGGUGAAACUCAAAGGAAUUGACGGGGGCUCGCACAAGCGGUGGAGCAUGUGUUUAAUUCGAUGCAACGCGAAGAAGCUUACUCAGGCUUGACAUACUACAAAUUUUUCUGAGAAGAAAAAGUGCCUUCGGGAAUGUAGAUACAGGUGGUGCAUGGCUGUCGUCAGCUCGUGUCGUGAGAUGUUGGUUAAGUCCCGCAACGAGCGCAACCCUUGUUUUAGUUGCAUUUAUUGAGUUUUCUAGAAAGACUGCCGGUGACAACGAGAGUGAGAUGACGUCAGUCAGCAUGCCCUAUGCUGGGCUACACACGUGCUACAUGACUAGAACAAAGAGUUGCGAGCUCGCGAGAGUCAGCUAUUUCUCAUAAACCUUAGGCUUAAGUUUCGGAUGAGGGUUGCAAUCGCUUAAAGGAGUCGGAUGCUUAAAAUCGUUGUUCACACCAUCACAGGCGGUGAAAAUAA
rnacentral:rRNA from 1 species